UACGAACUGUGCAAACGUUAUUCGGAAUCACUGGGCUUAAAGGGUGCGUAGGCGGCUUGCUAAGUAGGGUGUGAAAGCCCCCGGCUCAACCGGGGAAUGGCGCCCUAAACUGGCGAGCUAGAGUGAGAUAGGGGUGUGCGGAACUUCCAGUGGAGCGGUGAAAUGUGUUGAUAUUGGAAGGAACGCCUGUGGCGAAAGCGGCACACUGGGUCUCAACUGACGCUGAGGCACGAAAGCCAGGGGAGCAAAC
rnacentral:rRNA from 1 species